GCUUAAUUUCCCGACUCUGCACCCCCCACUACUGUUUAUAUGUGCACGUAUUUAACUAAUGGCGGGAAGUUUGAAAAUGGCCAUGACCAAAACCAAAACCAGAGCAAUCUAACCUCACAUUUAAAAGUGUUUUGUAUAAGUGUUUGAACUAUUUUAAUUUUGUCAAAUUUACAUUUUAUAUUAAUAAAAGGUACCCUUAGAAUUUGAGGAACAAUUAUUUAGUGAUGAUGAAAGAAUAAUAUAUUUUUUAAGUAACGCUUGAACCUGUACCAACUAUACGAGAACGAAAAAAUUUAUGGAAGAAUUUGAUGAUAUAUAACAAAUUUUUUAAUUUUUAUUAAGUUUCCAUAAAAAUACUGUGAGAUAAUUUAUACAAGAGCUGGUUCCUGGUUUCCAUUAAAUAAUUCUUCAGUACGAUGAGCCUAAUAUCACAGAUCAAGUUUUAAUAACUUUAAAAACUUAUAUUAGGAGUUGUUUUAUUUAUUGUAUGGUUUUGGUGGUAUACCUACACAAAACAACUACUGAAAGAUUAAUAAAACCCAUGAAGUACUGGCAGAUAAUGUAGUUGUUGAUAUUGAUAGAGAAUAUGUUAACACAGAAGAUAUUCCAUUUAUGAGUACUAAUCUAUAAACAUGCUAUAAAAUACUAUAAAAUUUAGCAUUUAUAAUAAAUAUUUAAACCUUU
rnacentral:lncRNA from 1 species